CAUAUUUUAAGUCUUAACCAGACUCCCCCAAAUUUCCUGCUCACCUGCCUGGCUUAAGUUUCCCUCUUCUGUUCCUUCCACUGUCCUGAAGAUCAAGGGUGGUCUCCAAAACAAAAUCUGCCUUCUUGGACUCCUUGGGUAUGGUCUUUUUCUUUCCUUUAAGCAGUAUUUACUGAGCACCUACUCUGUACCUGUUCAGGAGACACAGCAGCCAUAGAAAGGAAAACUCCUAGGCUUUUGGUAUUUAUAUUCUAAUGGGGGACAGUACACAAAUCCCCUGAUGGCCCAUCUUUGCUUAAAUGUCGCCCUCUCCCUAAGGUCUACCUUAUUUAUAAUUUCAUACACAUGCCAUCCUAUUUUUUCAUUUUAUUUUUCCCCACCGGGCUUCUCAAUGCGGCACAUGUUAUGUACAGUUUUCUAUUUGGUUAAUUGUCUGAGAUCCCCUCUAGAAUAUAAGCUGUGUUGGGAGGAGGGAUUUUUGCCUCUUUUGUUCUAUAAUUAUCUCCAAUGAUGACAAAGCUUAAAUCUCAUAGUCAGGCUGCCCUAAAACAUUUGUGCAAUGAAUGAAAAGUAAGUAAAUGCACACACACACACAUCCUAACUUCAGAGUGGUAAACUCCAUGAAGAUGGUAAAACUGGGUGUCCUCGGAGUUUGACAGAGGAGGAAGAGGAGCUGCAGAUCCCCAGUUGGGACAGAUUGAAGUUAGCCUUUAUCACUGAGGGCUGUUAUUGGCCCAGGACCUCUCCAGGUGUUGGGGGGCCCAUCUGUGAACAGGUAGAACCUGAACUCUGCCCAUAUGGAGCUCUCCUUCCGGUGGGGGUGGCAAACAGGUAAGAAGCAAGGGACAUAGGCAGAGAGGAACUGGCCCUUGGACCACUCUGAACCCGGACUUGGAGGUCAGAGGAUGGUGAAUAGGUGAGACUUCCUGGGGAAAGUGGAGUCAAAACUGAGUUCUAAAGGUGGAGAAGGAGGUCGGUGGAAAGGAAACUGAUACAAACACCUUGAUCUUACAAAGACAGGUGUUGUUGGGAGCAUCUGCUUUCUACACUAAGCUCCCUUCCCACUCUGGAGGCCACUCUUAAAGUGAGCCUGGCUGGGCAGGGGGGUCCUUACCCUAGAAUAAGGUUUUCUAACUUUGACUCUAUUAAGAUCCUGGCCAGAUACUUCUCUGUUGGAAGGGCAUCCUGGGCAAAGUAGAACGUUUAGCCCUAGCUAUUACCCGGCAUUGCCCAGUGCCCUGUGGGUGCAUAAUUGCCCCUGCCUGAGCACCAUUGCCUUAGGCUUCCUAAAUCAGAAACUUCAGGGUAAAGGACUAGGAAUCUGCAGUUUGAACAAGCAACCUCCAGCCCCAAGUGACUCUUCUGCUCCUGCAGUUUGAGAAUUUUGCCAAAAAAGGCCUUUUGGCUUCUCUGGGAAUCUGACAAACCCAGUACUGCUAGCUACAAAACCAAGUCAUGCUUAGAUAUUAAUAUAAUUUAGUCUUUUGGGGUGAUUUGUCAUUGUGGCUACUGGGAUGAACUUUUACCCGUCCUUCUCCUUGCUAUCCCAUUCCUGUACCCACCGAAGUGAGAUUUUACGGUAUGUCCUGGGACACCUCCUAUGAAUAACCCACCCACCUACCACCUUUGCCUUCCCUCCUGGGCAACUACCAGGAAAGAGUCGUUCCACUGAUAUCUUUCAUAAUAGUUCUUCUGGGCUGUAGGAAACUUAACUUUCUCCAUCCAACUUGUCAGCCACAAUGUGCCAUUGUCACCAUUUGCAAAGUGCUGUUUAAUCACUGUCUACAUUGCCACGUGCUUCUCCACCUCACAAGUCUAGCAUGGGUUGCUAAGUCACCUGCCCUAAAAUGACCUCCACCUGUGAUCAGCCUCACCUAAUCCCAGCCUAGUCCUCUGGCAACUGAGGCAGAGAAAAUCCCAUUUCACCAUUGACAAUAUCAGCAAAAGAUUAUGAAUUCUAAUUAUUCAGUAAACCUUCUACGGGGCACUGUGCUAGGGACCCUUGCCUAUUGUGCAAAACCCCAGGAACCACACAAUUAUGGGGUCAGGAGAUACAGACUUAAGGCCUGAACAGAAGGAGGACAGGGGCUUCAGGGAGCUCACUGUGAUUACAUCUCCUCUAGAAGCCCCAGGUCCAUUGAGCUAGUGUUUGCCUUACACUCAGGCCAUUCCUUGACAAACACCCCCUGUGCGCUUCAGGUGUACCAGGCACUCAGCGCCCCAAGAACAGGACACAGCAAUGCAUAAGGCAGGGCCUUGUCCUCCAAAAGUUUCUAUCAUAAUGGCAUCCAAAUGCUGGCCACAAGGAAAGGUGGGAGCUUGGCAGCUAGAUCUAGUCUUGGGGAGAAUAAAGAGAAAAAUAGUAGUUGAAUCUGAGCAGUGCAGCUUCUUGCAGUUUCUUUGCAAUGUUCUCAGAAUGUUACUUCCACUCCGCCUGGUCCUUAAUAGUGAGCGAUACAAAGAGGGACUCUCAGUAACUGUAAUACCUGCCUUUUGGCUGGCUACCGACAUAUUGUUGAGCCCACACUUCUGGAGUGUUAUUGCGGAAAUCUGUAUUUUUUCUUAUUGCUACCAAAGUAGAACAAUUCGUUUACUUACCAACAAGGAAUAUUAUGGCUCUGCCAGAGGGAUGCGUAACACAGUGAUACCCAGAUGUUUAGGAGUGGUGUAGAAAUGACAUGAGGUAACAUCCGAAUCACACAGUGAGAAAGUUAUUCCCUUUCAAUUAUCUUUCCAUUUGAGAUCUCCAUUUAGGGUUGGCCAUCUUUUCUGUACAUAACACUUGCUAACUUGUAUUCUUAACCAAGAUACCGUGGAUCUCGGACUCAGAAGCUUGGGCUGUAGCAAGUGCAACCUAGCUGAACUUCUACAGAGUAGUUUGUUUUCACUGAGUUCACUUUAGGGCUUAGCUUCUACUUUAGUGAAAGAAACCUCACUCUGCUUGUGGUAGCAAUCUCAAGUUUAAACACAUGUAUUUGAAUCUAAAAAGUAAAUAUAUGUAAGAGCCUAGAAAGAAGAUGGACAGAGCAGGUGGGCAUCAAAAUGAUGGCAAAAUGUGGGAAACUGCCACUACAACUGACUGCUCCAACUGGCAAAAGCACCCGUGUAAAGCCACAGGCUGUGGAUCUUAGGGAAACUUCUUCCAAGAAUUGACACUUACAACAAUGCUAGGUUUAAGUCUUGAGGAACUGAGUUUCCCCUAAUCCUGGACUCAAACCCCGGGGAUGUGUAGGGGCACAAACUGUCUGGAUGCAGCUCAACUGCAUCUCCCAGAAGAGUCCUUCCCACCCUGGCAGAACAUCGGAAUCACCUGGGGAAUGUUUAUUAUUAUGAGUCUCCUUUUUAAGGUAAAGAAGCCCAAGCCCCACUCCAGACUUACUAAAUUAGAUCCCAGGGAGGGGCCAGAAAAUCUGACAAUUCCAUGGUUGCCAGGUGAUUCUGAUAAGGUGCCAGGUAUGAAAACCUUUCCUAUACAAAAGUCGGGUUUUUGUAUCAAGUGAGCCAAGUCCGGAGAGUUUUGUCGCAUGCAAGGAACACAAAGCUCACCUAAUCUUGGGUUUCCUCAGAAGGUUGGUCGAAAGGUCCUCUCCGGGUCCCCAGAUGCCCGUGAAUUCUCCAUUUGGUGAACUUUAUACUGAGGGGUCAUCUUGGUUGCCAUUCGUUUGCCUGUCUUAUCCCUUGACUCCAAGCUAAUGCACUGAAAACAGACAUUUGCUGAGUGCCGACCGUGUGUAGGGCACUGCCCCGAUCGAUACCAGGCUGCCCGGAGACGAGCAUAUGGGGGGUGAUCUCCAUCACAGCCACAUCUUUCUGGGACGAGAUUUCUUCCUCCGACAAGAUUCUCCCUCCAAAUUGGCUUCUCCACUCUAAGCUCAAAGAUUCCUGUGGUACCCACUCUAUCUCUCCUGCUCUAGUUGGCUCCUUAUGGCUGGUGACUGUUUUGCCGCUGCUGAAGAAUCCAGACCAAGUCUUGGGCCCAGGAAUCCAUUGCUCAACUUCAUUAGCAACAGGAAGACAUUAAGUGAAAGUAAAGACUGGAACAGCCCAGAACCAUGUGACAGGCAGCCUUUAAGUCCUGGGCUCUGGUAUAUUUUAUGCCACCUCAACUGUGCAUCAAGCUCCACUUCCUGGACUCAUUAGAACUGUGUGCCCAAAGGUGCCCCUCAACUUUCAGAAGCAAAUAGAGAAUGAUAUAAUUCACUCUGAGGACACCUUUCUGUGUUAUCCGAGCUUGUCUUAUCUAUUAUGAUUAGGCGUUAAGCAUCCUGUUGUCCUUAAAAUUUCAUGAGAUUCUCCCCCUGCUUGCUAGGUUUAUGUCAAAGUGACUUGUCCUAAAGGCUGUUUUUACCCAACAAUACAGCUUGUCUUUUCCCCUCAGCUGUUGCUGGGCUGUCCAGCAAGUGGAGGAGCCCACAGACUUAAAAUGGUUGGAUACCAUGGGAGCAUGGGCAGCCCACUUUCAGAAGGAAUCUCUUGCUCUUGCUCCCUGGUGAUAAACAUUUGAAGACUGAGAUAAAAU
rnacentral:lncRNA from 1 species